rnacentral:tRNA from 1 species
GCCCGUAUCCCAGUGGUCAGCGCGCUCAGUAGCAACCGUGAGGUCCAGGGAUCAAAUCCCGUCGGCGCC